rnacentral:sRNA from 1 species
UUAAUAUUUUAUAAAUAUUGAUUCAAAUACAUCCAUCAUAUAACCCAAUUCCAAAAUAAAACCCGUUCUGUAAUUUCUUUACCCGUCCCGUGAUUUUUUUUUCAAAGUAGUAAUUUUUAAAAUUGAAGAAUUAUUUUUU